rnacentral:misc_RNA from 1 species
CAAGUUUUUUUUUCUUACAAUUUUCCGAAGACUUUGCAAAAAGUUCAGGGGGAUUGUUUAGGAGAAAAUUACCUACCCUAUGUGUUACUUUGACAGUUUAAUCUUUGGCAAUUCCGAUCGACUUUCUGAGGCCUUUAACAGCUGAAGAAGUUACCACUGGCUAGACUUUGACAAUGUUUAGCGAGUGAGUUGGUUGCCAAAGUCAAACAAAUUCAUUUCUUGAAAUGAAGAAACUCUUGAAUAAUUUUAUAUUGCUAUAAACAUGUCUGACAGAUUUUAUAAUAAAAAAUCA